GUGGUAUUCCAUUGACAUCCAGUCUAAGGCAGUCCCCCUCAGCCAUAUGCAAUGAUUCAGAUUCAAGCCCAUACUCAACGGUGGUGAUCUCACGAUUAACAGCCAUUAUGUCAAAAAUCCUGUAAUGAAAAUGUCAUAUGUUAAGUUUUAGCCAUUAAAAUGCUUGAGGUAGGUCGCUAUCUAGUUUCAAAAGGUCUCUCGCAUGCUCAGUGAUCGUCCUCGAAAGGUCGAUAUGAGGCUUACAAGUAGUGUGAAGAUAGAGGCCCUGAGAAAUAUCAGUUUGGCAUAUCAACCACUUCCAAGUAAGCAAUCAAACGAGAGUUGGAUGGUUUCGCGAGUCUUACCCAGGCUAAAGCCAUUGGGGUACCGUUACUCCCCCACUUAACUUAAAGUUGAUAUGACAAAUAAUGAAAUGAGUGGCGCGUGGAGGCACAAAUCUAUAUCCAAUAUAUGUAUGAAUGAUAUGAAUGAAUAUGGAUGUUAAAGCUAUAAAUAAUAAAAGAUAAAUAAAAUAAAAAAAAUAAAUAAAUAAAAAUAACAAUAAUCCACAACCUCCUAACACAACAUAACAAGCAUUUUAGCAAUUAACAAACAAAAAGCAAAGCUGAACUUGAUCCCCAGUGGAGUCGCCAUCCUGUCGCACCCGACAUCGCAGCGGCCUUAAAAACUAUCAUAGAUUGCGGAAAAAAGAACAGAUUUCUGGCGUCUUGUUCUUUUAGGAAAAAUGUCUUUUUUUUUUAAGGAGUCGCCACCUAGUAUUAUGGUCACUAGGAACCCUAACUGGUCAACAGAGAUUCUAUGGUACGGGACUGGUUACGUAAAAGGGAAGAUAUUAUCACCCCUUAAACGUUCUGCCUAAGGCAGACUGCAUUGCUGUUUUAAUCUUAACUUGCUAAAGCUUUUUGUUGAUUUUUUUUUUUUGUGUAAGGAUGUAUGAUAUUAUUGACUCUAAUUUCAAUGAAUAAACCUAAGAAAUAAAUUUAAAUCAAUGCAUGUAUAUUUUUUUAUUUUUUUAUGUUUUUUUUUUUAAAAAAAUAAAAUGAUGGUUUAACCAGAAUAUUCCUGACUCUGGCGUCAAUGAAUAUUUGAUCUCGAAUAAUUCCAACUCUGGCGUCGGUAAAAUAUUCCAUCAUAAAUAAUUCCGAUUACACCAUGAAUAAUUCCAACUCUGGCGUUGGUAAAUAUUCCAACACAAAUAAUUCCAAUUAAAAGUUUCGCCGCGAAUAAUCCCAACUCUGGCGUUGGUAAAUAUUCCACUACGAAUAAUUCAAUUAAGAGUUCCGCCGCGAAUAAUUUCAACUCUGGCGCUGGUAACUAUUGCGUAGCUAUAAAAUAAAUUCAGAUUAAUAUAUUUUUUAUUCCUGACUCUAACGCUACUGAAUAAACAAAUGAACUAAAUUUACGCAUUCACGUAUUUUUUUAAUGUAGUUAAAUAAAAAAAACAAAGAGAAUAAUUAAACAAGUAUUUUUAUUCUUGACUCUGGCGUCAGUAAAUACAUAAAUAAAGAUAAAUUUAUUUUUCGUACAUGCACGUAUAUUUUUUUGCUAAAAAAAAAAUAUACGAAUAAAAAUAAUAUAAACUUAAACUAGUAUUUUAUUCCCGACUCUGGCGUGGGUGAAUAAACCAGUAAUUUUAUAUUAUUUUUAUUCAUGCAUACACAUAUUUUUCUAUUUUUUUUAUGUUUUUAUAUUUUUUAUUAUUUUUGUUAUUUUUGGGGCUGGGCCCAGCUCAGCCCACAUGGGCUGGGCUAGGCCCGGCCCGCCUGGCCACUGGCCCAAACCAGUGGCCCGGCAAAAUUAAUGGUACUGCACGCGUGAAGCAAUUUCACGCGUGCAGCAACUGUGCGAAGGUAAUUAAAUUACCUUCGCACAGUUCCUCAUUUGCACAAUUAAAACAAGAAUGAAGAGAAAAUGAGAAAGGCUUACCUGCUUCGGGAGGUCGCGAGGAAGCUUGUAGGACGGCGAUUUCGUUCUCGUCUGUGUACGCCUGCUCCUUCUGUUUUCCUUUUGUUUCUGUGACGAUGAAGGUCACGAUUUGCUGCUUGGGUUCUUCUUUUUUUGGCUUGCAGGGGGACGAUUGAAGACGAGAAUAUUAACACUGGUUUUCUGGGUUUACUGCUUGUAUUGGUCUCUGUUUUAUGGGUUUCUAUUCUCUGUCUCUCCCAGUUUUUCCUUUCGUUCCCAGCCUCUCCGUCUCUCUGUUUUUGCCCCUGUCCUCCCUUGUCUUGCUCUGUUUUUUUCCCCCUGCGCGAGGUCGCCUUUGCUCUGCUUUUAUAGAACCAGCGGCAGUCCUCGGUGGUAACGGCUGCUCCCCCUCCUAAAUGAUCGUAACCGAGGCAUUUGAAUGAAGAAAAAAAACGCCUGCCAUCAUUGCCAACGGACGAAGCGCCUCUGCCUUUAAUGGCAGAGCCGUUGCAGAGUGGAGACGGUGAGCAGUCAUUGCAAAACGACGCCGUUUUGCUGGCUACGAAUUUGGUCCCUGUG
rnacentral:lncRNA from 1 species